rnacentral:rRNA from 1 species
AAGAAUUUAAAAGUCGAACAGACUUAAAAUUUAAGCGGCUACACCUAAAAUUAUAUCUUAAUCCAACAUCGAGGUCGCAAUCUUUUUUAUCGAUAUGAACUCUCCAAAAAAAUUACGCUGUUAUCCCUAAAGUAACUUGUUUUUUUAAUCGCUAAUAACGGAUCAAUUAUUCAUAAAUUAAUGAUUUAAAACAAUUAAAAGUUUAUUAAAUUUUAAUAUCACCCCAAUAAAAUAUCAUCUAUUAUCAUAACAAAAAAAAUCUACAAAAUUAUAAUAAUAUAAAUAUAAAGAUUUAUAGGGUCUUCUCGUCUUUUAAAUAAAUUUUAGCUUUUUGACUAAAAAAUAAAAUUCUAUUAUAAAUUUUUAUGAAACAGUUAAUAUCUCGUCCAACCAUUCAUACCAGCCUUCAAUUAAAAGACUAAUGAUUAUGCUACCUUUGCACAGUUAGUAUACUGCGGCCAUUUAAAAAAAUUCAGUGGGCAGGUCAGACUUUAAAAAAAAUUCAAAAAGAC